AUGUGUGCCUUCCAGGCCAAAGGGCAGGGAUUCCUUUACAUUCCUGAUUCUUGCACUGCUAAACAACUCAAGGAGAGAUCUACUAGCGUCGUGAUUGCUGUCAUAGAGGGGACUGCUAGUGUUAAGGAACUUGAGGAAGCGUUUUUUGACUACAUAGGGUCCAAAUGGCACUGCACUGCCCGUAUCAUUGGCCCUGACACCUAUGUGAUGAGAUUUCCUAAUCAAAGGGAUGUGAAAAAAGCAUGUUAUAACGAUAGGAUGAUCCUUAGAUCCUGUGGUGUGGUAGUUAAGAUCGUUCCUUGGUCGGCCAACAUUGGGGCUAAAGGGACUAUGGAGAUGGCAUGGGUGAAAGUUGCUAAUAUCCCUCUGGAAAGAAGAAAUGAGAGAAAUGUUGCUUAUGUUUCUUCCCUUGUGGGCGUCCCGCUCGAGAUCGACAUGGCCACCCUACACAAACCUGAAUUUGUCAGGGUCCGCCUGGGAUGUCGCAAUGUGGACGAGCUCCCUGGGGUUGCUGAGGCAGUGUUGGGCACACACUUCUUUGAUUUCUUCUAUGAAAUCGAGAAGGUGUUGGUUCGUGACCCUGAAAGAGAAAAAAGGAUGUGCAGACAGAGGCAGAUGUUAACAAAUCCCCUUUUGUGA
rnacentral:rRNA from 1 species